UGGGGAAUCUUGGACAAUGGGGGCAACCCUGAUCCAGCCAUGCCGCGUGAGUGAUGAAGGCCUUAGGGUCGUAAAGCUCUUUCGCCUGUGAAGAUAAUGACGGUAGCAGGUAAAGAAACCCCGGCUAACUCCGUGCCAGCAGCCGCGGUAAUACGGAGGGGGUUAGCGUUGUUCGGAAUUACUGGGCGUAAAGCGCACGUAGGCGGACCAGAAAGUUGGGGGUGAAAUCCCGGGGGCUCAACCCCGGAACUGCCUCCAAAACUAUUGGUCUAGAGUUCGAGAGAGGUGAGUGGAAUUCCAAGUGUAGAGGUGAAAUUCGUAGAUAUUUGGAGGAACACCAGUGGCGAAGGCGGCUCACUGGCUCGAUACUGACGCUGAGGUGCGAAAGUGUGGGGAGCAAACAGGAUUAGAUACCCUGGUAGUCCACACCGUAAAACGAUGAAUGCCAGUCGUCGGGUAGCAUGCUAUUCGGUGACACACCUAACGGAUUAAGCAUUCCGCCUGGGGAG
rnacentral:rRNA from 1 species